UGAGGAAUAUUGGGCAAUGCCCGCAAGGGUGACCCAGCAACGCCGCGUGGAGGAUGAAUGUCGUAAGAUUGUAAACUCCUGUUAGAGGGGAAGAAUAGUACCGGUUGGACCGGUAUAUGACUGUACCCUCAGAGAAAGCCCCGGCUAACUACGUGCCAGCAGCCGCGGUAAUACGUAGGGGGCAAGCGCUGUCCGGAUUUACUGGGUGUAAAGGGCGCGCAGGCGGGAUAAAAAGUCAGUGGUUAAAUCCUACAGCUUAACUGUAGAACUGUCUUUGAUACUUUUAUUCUUGAGUUCGGGAGAGAGAGACGGAAUUCCAGGUGUAGUGGUGAAAUACGUAGAUAUCUGGAAGAACACCAGUUGCGAAGGCGGUCUCUUGGUCCGACACUGACGCUGAGGCGCGAAAGCGUGGGGAGCAAACA
rnacentral:rRNA from 1 species